GGAUAACAUACCGAAAGGUAUGCUAAUACGGGAUAAUAUAUUUGAGAGGCAUCUCUUAAAUAUCAAAGGUGAGCCAGUACAGGAUGGACCCGCGUCUGAUUAGCUAGUUGGUAAGGUAACGGCUUACCAAGGCGACGAUCAGUAGCCGACCUGAGAGGGUGAUCGGCCACAUUGGAACUGAGACACGGUCCGAACUCCUACGGGAGGCAGCAGUGGGGAAUAUUGCACAAUGGGCGAAAGCCUGAUGCAGCAACGCCGCGUGAGUGAUGAAGGCCUUCGGGUCGUAAAACUCUGUCCUCAAGGAAGAUAAUGACGGUACUUGAGGAGGAAGCCCCGGCUAACUACGUGCCAGCAGCCGCGGUAAUACGUAGGGGGCUAGCGUUAUCCGGAUUUACUGGACGUAAAGGGUGCGUAGGCGGUCUUUCAAGUCAGGAGUGAAAGGCUACGGCUCAACCGUAGUAAGCUCUUGAAACUGGGAGACUUGAGUGCAGGAGAGGAGAGUGGAAUUCCUAGUGUAGCGGUGAAAUGCGUAGAUAUUAGGAGGAACACCAGUUGCGAAGGCGGCUCCCUGGACUGUAACUGACGCUGAGGCACGAAAGCGUGGGGAGCAAACAGGAUUAGAUACCCUGGUAGUCCACGCUGUAAACGAUGAGUACUAGGUGUCGGGGGUUACCCCCUUCGGUGCCGCAG
rnacentral:rRNA from 1 species